AGCAACUGCUAACAGCGAGGAGGGGUUUUGAAAGGUAAAGGCCAUUAGCUUGGAGGCAGAAGACAGACCUCCCUGACUGCUGAAUUCUUGCCGGCCUGAAAUUGGAGCAUUCCAAGCUCCUCAGAUGAGUCAUAAGCCACCAAGAUUGUGAGCCUCUGGGCUUCUCCCAGCUUGUAGGAGAAAUGCCUUGCAGGUGAAGAUGGUGAGGAGGUUGGCCCUGAAAUAGCCUAGCCCCUCGAAGAGAUAAACAGGGAGGAGCAUCAUUCAGGUGCUUCUCUGGGAAAUGAACCAGGAUAAUGUUCAUCUUAAAAUAACCUACUUCAAUGAACAUUCGGCCAAAAGACAAAAGGAAGGUAUUGCUAGGUAAUGUGCAGCCACUCUGUCAUAGUCUUUUUUUUUUAAAUGAACACAAAUUCCUUGACUGUCUUCUUGCUGAGAGGUGAGGUCUCUGUCCCCCUCCUCUCCCUACUUGAAUCUGGAUGAGCUUGUCACUCACUUAUAACCAAGAAUAUGGAAGAAGUGAUGCUGUGUGAUCUCCUCAUGCCUGGAGCCUGUGAGCCUCUCUCUCAGAAGUCCAGUGCCCCUGAGCCCACCAUGCUGAAGAAGCCACUUGGAGAAGCCCCUGUUGACAGAGCGCCAGCAUCACCUGCCAGUCACCAGAAGGCAGCCAUCUCAGACAUCCAGCCCAGCUGAGCCUUCAACUGACUGCUGCCCCAACCAACAUGUGAACUGCAACCGCAUGAGAGACCCUCAAGUGAGAACCGCCCAACUGAGCCUUUCCCAAGUUCCUGGCCCACAAAACCCAGAACAAAUUAAAAUGAGUGUUUUAAGCCAUUAAGGAGCAGGGUAAUUUGUUACACAGCAACAGUAACCAGGACACAUUCCCAAACCUAACUAGGAGGAAAUUUCCUCUUGAUAAAAAUGCUGAUUUUUUAUUCAUCCUAGACCUUCAUAAGUCAGAAGCAUCUGUGGAUAAGGUAUAAGAAUCUGCAUUUUUUUUUAAGACAAGCUCUCCCACCCCAGGUGAUUCAGAUGCACAGCCAGGUUUGGAAAUUUAAGACCUUGGAAGAGAGUCACAUUGCCUCUCUGAGUCUCAGCUUCCUUGUCUGUGAAUUGGGGAGGAGUGAGAGUUGGUGUGAGUAUCAAAGAAGACGCUGCAGGUAAAGUCUUUAGGGCCAGCCAGGCAUGGUGGCUCACGCCUGUAAUCCCAGCACUUUGGGAGGCCAAGGCGGGCGGAUCAUGAGGUCAGGAGUUCAGCCUGGCCAAUAUGAUGAAACACUGUCUCUAUUAAAAAUACAAAAAAAUUAGCCAGGCAUGGUGCCAGGUGCCUGUAGUCCCAGCUACUCAGGAGGCUGAGACAGGAGAAUCGCUUGAGCCCAGGAAGCGGAGGUUGCAGUGAGCCGAGAUCACACCACUGCACUCCAGCCUGGGCGACAGAGCAAGACUCUGAAAAAAAAAAAAAA
rnacentral:lncRNA from 1 species